rnacentral:rRNA from 1 species
CCUACGGGCGGCAGCAGUGAGGAAUAUUGGUCAAUGGGCGCGAGCCUGAACCAGCCAAGUCGCGUGAGGGAAGACGGCUUUCGGGUUGUAAACUUCUUUUCUCAGGGACGAAGAAAGUGACGGUACCUGAGGAAUAAGCCACGGCUAACUACGUGCCAGCAGCCGCGGUAAUACGUAGGUGGCAAGCGUUAUCCGGAUUUAUUGGGUGUAAAGGGCGUGUAGGCGGGAGCGCAAGUCAGAUGUGAAAACUCAGGGCUCAACCCUGAGCCUGCAUUUGAAACUGUCCGGCUGGAGUGCAGGAGAGGUAAGCGGAAUUCCUAGUGUAGCGGUGAAAUGCGUAGAUAUUAGGAGGAACACCAGUGGCGAAGGCGGCUUACUGGACUGUAACUGACACUGAGGCACGAAAGCGUGGGGAGCAAACAGGAUUAGAUACCCCAGUAGUC